UUUUAGAGAGAUGAUUUGCAACGAGGUUAACUCAUUGCUCGUGUUCAUAUUAUACAAUCAAGAGUUCCUACCUUGAUGCAUCUUGGAGAUGAUGGUGUUACAAAUGGUGAGUUGUAGGAUGGAUAGCGGUGAAGCGCUAAAUCAUUUUGUCUAGGCUUGCUAUUGGAAGACUUGGGUUGCAAUGCUCAAUUCAUUUCCGGGGAACCUUGCUAUUGCUCCUUGAGUAGCUUGGUGUUGGAUUAGUUUUGAGUUUGGUUAGAAAGAGAGUGUCAUGAGCUUGUCCAUGUUGUAAACAAAAGUUAGUGGUGUUAAGUGUUGUAAGUCUC
rnacentral:lncRNA from 1 species